ACGCUGGCGGCAGGCUUAACACAUGCAAGUCGAACGGUAACAGGAAUUAUCUUGCUAAUUUGCUGACGAGUGGCGGACGGGUGAGUAAUGCUUGGGAAUCUGGCUUAUGGAGGGGGAUAACUACGGGAAACUGUAGCUAAUACCGCGUAAAAUCUUCGGAUUAAAGGGUGGGACUUUCGAGCCACCUGCCAUAAGAUGAGCCCAAGUGGGAUUAGGUAGUUGGUUAGGUAAAGGCUGACCAAGCCGACGAUCUCUAGCUGGUCUGAGAGGAUGACCAGCCACACUGGAACUGAGACACGGUCCAGACUCCUACGGGAGGCAGCAGUGGGGAAUAUUGCACAAUGGGGGGAACCCUGAUGCAGCCAUGCCGCGUGAAUGAAGAAGGCCUUCGGGUUGUAAAGUUCUUUCGGUGACGAGGAAGGUUGAUAGGUUAAUAGCCUAUCAAAUUGACGUUAAUCACACAAGAAGCACCGGCUAACUCCGUGCCAGCAGCCGCGGUAAUACGGGGGGUGCGAGCGUUAAUCGGAAUAACUGGGCGUAAAGGGCACGCAGACGGUGACUUAAGUGAGAUGUGAAAGCCCCGAGCUUAACUUGGGAAUUGCAUUUCAUACUGGGUCGCUAGAGUACUUUAGGGAGGGGUAGAAUUCCACGUGUAGCGGUGAAAUGCGUAGAGAUGUGGAGGAAUACCGAAGGCGAAGGCAGCCCCUUGGGAAUGUACUGACGCUCAUGUGCGAAAGCGUGGGGAGCAAACAGGAUUAAAUACCCUGGUAGUCCACGCUGUAAACGAUGUCGAUUUGGGGAUUGGGCUUUGAGCUUGGUGCCCGUAGCUAACGUGAUAAAUCGACCGCCUGGGGAGUACGGCCGCAAGGUUAAAACUCAAAUGAAUUGACGGGGGCCCGCACAAGC
rnacentral:rRNA from 1 species